GUGCGGCAUCUUUUUGAACUUCCCCGGCUGUCCGAGCUUCCACAGUACCAUCCAGACUCCUCCAGCAGUCGACCUUCCACGGUGUCCUCCGGACUCUUCCAACGGAUAAACUCCUAUCGUACCCUCUGAACUUCUCCAAUAAUGAGCUCCUUCAGUCGUCUAUCGAACUGCUCCAAAUGCUCUCUGGGCUUCACUAUCAGCCGAUGUUCUACAGUG
rnacentral:lncRNA from 1 species